rnacentral:rRNA from 1 species
UAAGUAGGGCGGGACACGUGAAAUCCUGUCUGAAGAUCGGAGGACCACCUUCGAAGGCUAAGUACUCCUUACUGACCGAUAGCGAACCAGUACCGUGAGGGAAAGGUGAAAAGCACCCCGACGAGGGGAGUGAAACAGUACCUGAAACCGAACGCCUACAAUCAGUCGGAGCUUGACU